ACACGGGGUUGGCCUAAGUGCAGGAGGGCAAGUCCGACUGGAUGAGCCUAUUUUGAGUCUUUGCUUCUCACUGUGUUGGCCAAACCAUGACGUGGCCAAGCCCCAUGUCCAGUCGUGGAGAGAUCCUCUGCCUGCUGUGGAGCCAUGGCAAGGACGUGGAUACACGACUACCCGUUUGCAAGCACGUCAAGUUGGAUAAUGUAGAAUGUUGGCAAAAGUGCAGGGAAACAGGUUGUUCCAAGCAGGAGUGUUGGAACAGGAGAUGUCCUUCCAGUAUCAACCCAGAAGAAACAGCAACGCUUUAGAUGAGGAAGCAUUUAGACAAUGUUCACGGCAGAAUUACUUGCUACAGUGAAAAAUGGAAAGCCCACGUGUCCGUCCGCAAAUCAGAAGCUAAUUAUGCCGCUGUGACUGGUGCUGUGGACAACUUUGCAGCAGCUAAAAAUAAUUAGGUGCAUCUGUGUGUACUAACAUGAUGGAACAUCUAGAUGCAGCAUUAAGAAAUAAAAAGCAAGUCACCAAAUGAAAGGUACAGAAUAAUUUCAUCUACGUGACGCUCUCUCUCACACCCAAACACCCCAUUUUCCUCAGCUGCAUGUUUGUGUAUGUAAAUAGGAAAACGUAGAAAAAG